UCCGUAGGUGAACCUGCGGAAGGAUCAUUACAGAGUUCAUGCCCUCACGGGUAGAUCUCCCACCCUUGAAUACUUAUACCUUUGUUGCUUUGGCGGGCCGCUUCGGCUGCCGGCUUCGGCUGGUGAGUGCCCGCCAGAGGACCCAAAACUCUGAAUUAUAGUGUCGUCUGAGUACUAUAUAAUAGUUAAAACUUUCAACAACGGAUCUCUUGGUUCUGGCAUCGAUGAAGAACGCAGCGAAAUGCGAUAAGUAGUGUGAAUUGCAGAAUUCAGUGAAUCAUCGAAUCUUUGAACGCACAUUGCGCCCUGCGUAUUCCGGCGGGCAUGCCUGUUCGAGCGUCAUUUCAACCCUCAAGCCCAGCUUGGUGUUGGGGCACCCGGCCGCCUGACGACCCGGGGCCCUCAAGUAUAUCGGCGGUCUCGUCGGGACUCUGAGCGCAGUAACUCGCGGUAAAAACGCGCCUCGUUUGGACCGUCUCCGGCGGGUUCCGGCCGCUAAACACCCCCAUCUCAGAGUUGACCUCGGAUCAGGUAGGAAUACCCGCUGAACUUAAGCAUAUCAAUAAGCGGAGGGAAGUCGGACUGGCCAAGGGGCACACCAGGGGGGGG
rnacentral:rRNA from 1 species